rnacentral:rRNA from 1 species
GACGAACGCUGGCGGCGUGUCUAAUACAUGCAAGUAGAACGCUGAAGGAGGAGCUUGCUUCUCUGGAUGAGUUGCGAACGGGUGAGUAACGCGUAGGUAACCUGCCUGGUAGCGGGGGAUAACUAUUGGAAACGAUAGCUAAUACCGCAUAAUAGCAGUUGUUGCAUGACAACUGUUUGAAAGGUGCAAUUGCACCACUACCAGAUGGACCUGCGUUGUAUUAGCUAGUUGGUGGGGUAACGGCUCACCAAGGCGACGAUACAUAGCCGACCUGAGAGGGUGAUCGGCCACACUGGGACUGAGACACGGCCCAGACUCCUACGGGAGGCAGCAGUAGGGAAUCUUCGGCAAUGGACGGAAGUCUGACCGAGCAACGCCGCGCGAGUGAAGAAGGUUUUCGGAUCGUAAAGCUCUGUUGUAAGAGAAGAACGAGUGUGAGAGUGGAAAGUUCACACUGUGACGGUAUCUUACCAGAAAGGGACGGCUAACUACGUG